rnacentral:rRNA from 1 species
GACGCUGGCGGCAGGCUUACACAUGCAAGUCGAGCGGAGAGAGGUAGCUUGCUACUGAUCUUAGCGGCGGACGGGUGAGUAAUGCUUAGGAAUCUGCCUAUUAGUGGGGGACAACAUUUCGAAAGGAAUGCUAAUACCGCAUACGUCCUACGGGAGAAAGCAGGGGAUCUUCGGACCUUGCGCUAAUAGAUGAGCCUAAGUCGGAUUAGCUAGUUGGUGGGGUAAAGGCCUACCAAGGCGACGAUCUGUAGCGGGUCUGAGAGGAUGAUCCGCCACACUGGGACUGAGACACGGCCCAGACUCCUACGGGAGGCAGCAGUGGGGAAUAUUGGACAAUGGGCGCAAGCCUGAUCCAGCCAUGCCGCGUGUGUGAAGAAGGCCUUAUGGUUGUAAAGCACUUUAAGCGAGGAGGAGGCUACUUUAGUUAAUACCUAGAGAUAGUGGACGUUACUCGCAGAAUAAGCACCGGCUAACUCUGUGCCAGCAGCCGCGGUAAUACAGAGGGUGCAAGCGUUAAUCGGAUUUACUGGGCGUAAAGCGCGCGUAGGCGGCUAAUUAAGUCAAAUGUGAAAUCCCCGAGCUUAACUUGGGAAUUGCAUUCGAUACUGGUUAGCUAGAGUGUGGGAGAGGAUGGUAGAAUUCCAGGUGUAGCGGUGAAAUGCGUAGAGAUCUGGAGGAAUACCGAUGGCGAAGGCAGCCAUCUGGCCUAACACUGACGCUGAGGUGCGAAAGCAUGGGGAGCAAACAGGAUUAGAUACCCUGGUAGUCCAUGCCGUAAACGAUGUCUACUAGCCGUUGGGGCCUUUGAGGCUUUAGUGGCGCAGCUAACGCGAUAAGUAGACCGCCUGGGGAGUACGGUCGCAAGACUAAAACUCAAAUGAAUUGACGGGGGCCCGCACAAGCGGUGGAGCAUGUGGUUUAAUUCGAUGCAACGCGAAGAACCUUACCUGGCCUUGACAUAGUAAGAACUUUCCAGAGAUGGAUUGGUGCC